rnacentral:rRNA from 1 species
UACGGAGGGUGCGAGCGUUGUCCGGAAUCAUUGGGCGUAAAGCGCGUGUAGGCGGCUUUGCAAGUCGGGUGUGAAAGCCCUCAGCUCAACUGAGGAAGUGCGCCCGAAACUGCAGAGCUUGAGUGCCGGAGAGGGUGGCGGAAUUCCCCAAGUAGAGGUGAAAUUCGUAGAUAUGGGGAGGAACACCGGUGGCGAAGGCGGCCACCUGGACGAGAACUGACGCUCAUGCACGAAAGUGUGGGGAUCAAACAGG